rnacentral:piRNA from 1 species
UAAAACAGAAAGGAAGCCAUCAUUC